UACGGAGGGAGCUAGCGUUGUUCGGAAUUACUGGGCGUAAAGCGUACGUAGGCGGCUUUGUAAGUAAGAGGUGAAAGCCUGGAGCUCAACUCCAGAACUGCCUUUUAGACUGCAUCGCUUGAAUCCGGGAGAGGUGAGUGGAAUUCCGAGUGUAGAGGUGAAAUUCGUAGAUAUUCGGAAGAACACCAGUGGCGAAGGCGGCUCACUGGACCGGCAUUGACGCUGAGGUACGAAAGCGUGGGGAGCAAAC
rnacentral:rRNA from 1 species